GAGGAAUAUUGGUCAAUGGACGCAAGUCUGAACCAGCCAAGUCGCGUGAAGGACGAAGGUAUUAUGUAUUGUAAACUUCUUUUUCAGGGGAAUAAAGUGAGGCUUGCGAGCCUUUUUGCAAGUACCCUGCGAAUAAGGAUCGGCUAACUCCGUGCCAGCAGCCGCGGUAAUACGGAGGAUCCGAGCGUUAUCCGGAUUUAUUGGGUUUAAAGGGUGCGUAGGCGGAGAUUUAAGUCAGUGGUGAAAGUUUAGGGCUCAACCUUAAAAUUGCCGUUGAAACUGGAUUUCUUGAGUACGGUAGAGGUAGGCGGAAUUUGUGGUGUAGCGGUGAAAUGCUUAGAUAUCACGAAGAACUCCGAUUGCGAAGGCAGCUUACCGGACCGUAACUGACGCUGAGGCACGAAAGUGUGGGGAUCAAAC
rnacentral:rRNA from 1 species